rnacentral:rRNA from 1 species
CCAGACUCCUACGGGAGGCAGCAGUGGGGAAUAUUGCACAAUGGGGGAAACCCUGAUGCAGCAACGCCGCGUGAGUGAAGAAGUAUUUCGGUAUGUAAAGCUCUAUCAGCAGGGAAGAAAAUGACGGUACCUGAGUAAGAAGCCCCGGCUAACUACGUGCCAGCAGCCGCGGUAAUACGUAGGGGGCAAGCGUUAUCCGGAUUUACUGGGUGUAAAGGGAGCGUAGACGGCGAUACAAGUCUGAAGUGAAAGCCCGGGGCUCAACCCCGGGACUGCAUUGGAAACUGUUAGGCUGGAGUGUCGGAGAGGUAAGCGGAAUUCCUAGUGUAGCGGUGAAAUGCGUAGAUAUUAGGAGGAACACCAGUGGCGAAGGCGGCUUACUGGACGACAACUGACGCUGAGGCUCGAAAGCGUGGGGAGCAAACAGGAUUAGAUACCCUCGUACCG